rnacentral:rRNA from 1 species
UACGUAGGGUGCAAGGGUUGUCCGGAAUUAUUGGGCGUAAAGAGCUCGUAGGCGGUCUGUCGCGUCGGCUGUGAAAUCCCGAGGCUCAACCUCGGGUCUGCAGUCGAUACGGGCAAACUUGAGUGUUGCAGGGGAGACUGGAAUUCCUGGUGUAGCGGUGAAAUGCGCAGAUAUCAGGAGGAACACCGGUGGCGAAGGCGGGUCUCUGGGCAACAACUGACGCUGAGGAGCGAAAGCGUGGGGAGCGAACAGG